UGGGGAAUCUUGCACAAUGGGGGAAACCCUGAUGCAGCGACGCCGCGUGAACGAUGAAGCCCUUCGGGGUGUAAAGUUCUUUCGACAGGAACGAUAAUGACGGUACCUGGAGAAGAAGCUGCGGCUAACUACGUGCCAGCAGCCGCGGUAAUACGUAGGCAGCGAGCGUUGUUCGGAGUUACUGGGCGUAAAGAGUGCGUAGGCGGCGAGCCAAGUUUGGUGUGAAAUCUCCCGGCUUAACCGGGAGGGUGCGCCGAAAACUGGUUGGCUGGAGUAUGGGAGAGGAAAGCGGAAUUCCUGGUGUAGCGGUGAAAUGCGUAGAUAUCAGGAGGAACACCUGCGGUGUAGACAGCUUUCUGGACCAAAACUGACGCUGAGGCACGAAAGCGUGGGUAGCAAAC
rnacentral:rRNA from 1 species